rnacentral:rRNA from 1 species
AUUGAACGCUGGCGGCAGGCCUAACACAUGCAAGUCGAGCGGAUGAAGGGAGCUUGCUCCUGGAUUCAGCGGCGGACGGGUGAGUAAUGCCUAGGAAUCUGCCUGGUAGUGGGGGAUAACGUCCGGAAACGGGCGCUAAUAUCGCAUACGUCCUGAGGGAGAAAGUGGGGGAUCUUCGGACCUCACGCGUUUAGAUGAGCCUAGGUCGGUUUAGCUAGUUGGUGGGGUAAAGGCCUACCAGGGCGACGAUCCGUAACUGGGCUGAGAGGAUGAUCAGUAAACCUGAAACUGAGAAACGGACAAGCCCCCUAGGGAGGGCAGAGGUGGGAAACAUUGGACAAGGGGGGAAAGCUUGCUCCAUCAAUGCAGGGUGGUUGAAGAAGGUCUUCGGGUUGUAAAGCAGUUUAAGUGGGGAGAAAGGGUAGUAAGUUAAUAGCUCGCUGUUUGAACGUUACCAAUAGAAAAAGCACCGGUAAAUUCCGU